AUCAAUCAUUUGUGCCAUUUAAAUUUGGCAGCUAAUACAAAUCAGGUACUAUGAAAAUAGAAGCCCAGAGGGAAUUUAAUUUGCUUUUGUUAUUGCAUGGUGAAAGCAGUAUGCAUUGAGGCAAUUGUCUAUUUAUUGGGAAAAAACAAAUUCCGAAAUUAAAUUAGAAACCUGUAAGCCAUAUACAAACCUAAAAUAUUCCACCAAAUUGAAAGAGUUUACAAUUUUGCCUCAAAAUGGAAGCCAGACGAACCAAAUAUUGUAUUACACUGUUCGAUUUAAUUCAUCAAUAUGGAGCACGCGAUUUGAUUGCCUGUAUCCAUGUGAUGUAUCGCCUUUCGGGUGACGAAAUCCGAGAGAUUCGCGCUGGCAUUCCCGUGAGGUAAUAAAAGACCUCUACUCGAAACGAUUUAGGCGACACCGCCCGACUAAAAAUAGCCCCAACUCAAAUUGAUGCAAAUUAAUCAUGAUUAGUCGGCCGAUGUGGUUGCCAGGUGGAAGAGUGCUUCAUGGGUAUCCCUUUGGCGCACCUGGCGCAGUGGGGAAAUUUGGAGAAAGGUGUUGGGGAAAAGCGGAAACGGAAGUGACUGAGAAGUUGCGUGAACUGGCGACAAUUUGUCACAGUUUCCGGACAGCUGGACUGUAUGUGUCGUUUUAUAGGUCAAGUUGAGAGCGACAAGUGCGAAAGGCAAACAAAGGCGGACAAUUACCAUAACAAAACGCCCAACUGGCAUAAUGGAAAACUCAAAUAGUAGCGCAGAAAGAGACCGAGCUAAGCGGCUAGAGAGAGAUGGCCAAACGCUGGCUAAUUACGCCAAUUACGACAUUUUUACUCGAAAAUUGUGGGAACCUUGCUCAGCUGGGCAGGGCGGAAUGUGCACGAAUUUAUUGCAGCAAUUAAGACCUUAAUUCAAUGAACCCGCUCCCUGUGGAAAAACAGAUGUCAGAUUACAGUCGACAGGCAUCCUGGACAGGUGCAGCGAAACUUUUGGCCAGCCUAUCAGCGUGAGACACAAUGCCAGCCCGUUGACCCUUCAACCCUCGGCAGGCGACCGAAGAGCUGCAGAUUCCAAAGUUUUCCCAGGCAUCAGCUGCCCUUCGACAGAUAGCAAACAAGUCCUUAACCUCGGGCAAGUAUGCAGACUGUAUAGCUGUUGUCUAGAGCCAAAUGAGUGAUUUACCAGGGAUCAAAAUACCCAAAAGCUACAAAAAAAACCAACAAAAUAUAUUUAUUGUAUCCA